UGUCUGUGAUGAUAAAUGUUAAGGCUUGUUUCUCAAACAUUCGCAGUGGCCGCCUAAGAGUUAAUGCUGCUUUUAUCCUUCCUUGGAUGUCUGAGACA
rfam:Capsicum annuum cultivar Zunla-1 chromosome 7, whole genome shotgun sequence